rnacentral:rRNA from 1 species
UACGAAGGGUGCAAGCGUUACUCGGAAUUACUGGGCGUAAAGCGUGCGCAGGCGGCUUUGCAAGACAGAUGUGAAAUCCCCGGGCUCAACCUGGGAACUGCAUUUGUGACUGCAAGGCUAGAGUACGGCAGAGGGGGAUGGAAUUCCGCGUGUAGCAGUGAAAUGCGUAGAUAUGCGGAGGAACACCAAUGGCGAAGGCAAUCCCCUGGGCCUGUACUGACGCUCAUGCACGAAAGCGUGGGGAGCAAACAGG